rnacentral:rRNA from 1 species
GAUGAACGCUGGCGGCGUGCCUAAUACAUGCCAGUCGAGCGAACGGACGAGAAGCUUGCUUCUCUGAUGUUAGCGGCGGACGGGUGAGUAACACGUGGAUAACCUACCUAUAAGACUGGGAUAACAUCGGGAAACCGGAGCUAAUACCGGAUAAUAUUUUGAACCGCAUGGUUCAAAAGUGAAAGACGGUCUUGCUGUCACUUAUAGAUGGAUCCGCGCUGCAUUAGCUAGUUGGUAAGGUAACGGCUUACCAAGGCAACGAUGCAUAGCCGACCUGAGAGGGUGAUCGGACACACGGUAACUGAGACACGGUCCAGACUCCUACGGGAGGCAGCAGUAGGGAAUCUUCCGCAAUGGGCGAAAGCCUGACGGAGCAACGCCGCGUGAGUGAUGAAGGUCUUCGGAUCGUAAAACUCUGUUAUUAGGGAAGAACAUAUGUGUAAGUACCUGUGCACAUCUUGACGGUACCUAAUCAGAAAGCCACGGCUAACUACGUG